rnacentral:rRNA from 1 species
UACAGAGGUCCCAAGCGUUGUUCGGAUUCAUUGGGCGUAAAGGGUGCGUAGGCGGUGGGGUAAGUUGGAUGUGAAAUCUUGGGGCUUAACCUCAAAAUUGCAUUCAAUACUGCUCCGCUCGAGUUCUGUAGAGGAGAUUGGGAUUUACGGUGUAGCAGUGAAAUGCGUAGAUAUCGGGAGGAACACCUGUGGCGAAAGCGGCGCACUGGACCACAACUGACGCUGAGGCGCGAAAGCUAGGGGAGCAAACAGG